AGUCAGGGGCAGAAGGAGCGCCAAGGGGGUGGGGUGCUGGCGGCAGACUGACAGGAUCCCGGUCCAGUCAGGGGCAGGCAACAUGGUCUUGAACCCAGCUCACUUCUCUCUUUUCUUAGUUUGAAGGCAGAGUGGACAGUGAGAGAGAGACAGAGAGAAAGGUCUUCCUUUGCCGUUGGUUCACCCUCCCAUGGCUGCUGCGGCCGGCGCACCGCGCUGAUCCGAUGGCAGGAGCCAGGUACUUUUCCUGGUCUCCCAUGGGGUGCAGGGCCCAAGCACCUGGGCCAUCCUCCAUUGCACUCCCUGGCCACAGCAGAGAGCUGGCCUGGAAGAGGGGCAACCGGGACAGAAUCCGGCGCCCCCACCGGGACUAGAACCCGGCGUGCCGGCGCCGCAAGGUGGAGGAUUAGCCUAUUGAGCCACGGCGCCGGCUCGAUCAAGGAGCUUUUUUUAAAAGAAAAGAGAGGAGAGAGCUGUGUGAAAUGCGGUUCAGCACCACUUCCGCCCCGAGCCGCUGAAACAGGAAGCACACGCCCGCCCAGCCUCUGAUUGGUCCCCGAGUCUGAGACCGGAGAAGCCAUAGGCUGUGCUACCUGUCACUCGUACGAGCCCAGCCCAGUCGUAGAGCGCCGCAUCCGCCGCCGCUAGGGCUCCUGGCAGCUGUAGUUCAGGGCUGCGUUCAGACAAGGCAAGUGUGCCUGCACAAUUUGAAAUCAGGAAAGAUGGCCCAAAAAUGAUAAAAGAAAAAUGAUAACUUAGAGUAUGCACAAGUAAUCAAAAUGCUGGGAAAUGGACGAUUAGAAGCAAUGUGCUUUGAUGGUGUAAAGCGAUUAUGCCAUAUUAGAGGAAAAUUGAGAAAGAAGGUUUGGAUAAAUACCUCAGACAUUAUUUUGAUUGGUCUCCGAGAGUAUCAGGAUAACAAAGCAGACGUAAUUUUAAAAUACAAUGCAGAUGAAGCUAGAAGUCUGAAGGCAUAUGGCGAGCUUCCUGAACAUGCUAAAAUCAAUGAAACUGAUACAUUUGGUCCUGGAGAUGAUGAUGAAAUCCAGUUUGAUGAUAUUGGAGAUGAUGAUGAAGACAUUGAUGAUAUCUAAAUUGAAUUUAGUUUUCAUUUUCUGAAGACAUUAACUGGGAAUUUUGACCAUCAACUUAAGAAGAAUAGAACUUUAUUUACCAUGAGUAUUGUUUAUUAAAACAAAUUGUCUUAAUUCCGUUUUUUUUUUAAUGUAUUUACUAUACUAUAUUUCUUUAAAAAUUGAUGUUGAACCAUCUUAGGUGACAUAUUAAUUCUUUAUUUUUUAUAUAAUGAGACUUAGAAAUAAAACAUUUUUAAAAAAGAGAAAGAAAUGCCUUUUCUACCAUUGACAGUCACAGUUGCAAGAAAUUGAUGUUUAAUCAGAAUUGAAAAUCAAAAUUGAAAGUCAUAGAUUUGUCUGGAAUAGUAUUUAACUAAUUUCUAUAGUCUAUGGACUUGUUCUGUAUCUUUCAGAAAUAUAUUUAUGGUCUCUAUAACAUUUAAGAAUGAUCAAAAUAUACUUUGGAAUGGUGUCAGCUUAA